CCCGCCUGAGAGCCACGCCGCAGGGUUCGCUGUAUUUGGGAAUAUGUGCAGUAUGAAGAACAAUGAAAGUCUAAAGACUGCACAUGUAUAAUCAAAACAAGGUUUGAGGUCCAUUUCUAUGGCAGUGUAUAGGAGAGACCUGAAGAUCAUCUUACACCUCAGCUUGCCACAAACUGC